AGAAGGCGAUCAGUCGAGCCACAGAGCUCUCCGGCACACCAUCCGCGAUCGAAUUGUUCCUCGUUUCUCUGUAGUUUCUCUAUCGUUUCUCCGGCUCCAUUCAGUUUCCGGUCAUUCCUUCUUUUUUUUAUCCUUGUGCGAUUUGUAUUUGGCGUAGGUAUCUCUGGAAUGUAUCUGGAAUUUUUAGUUGUUCUUGGUGGAUGUAGACGCGUGGAAAAUUGUAUGCUAGAUGGCGCGAGAUGGAACUUUCUUCGCAAACGGUGGGUGUGAGUGUGCACGUUUAAGUGUGAGUGUGCACGUAGAAGUUUAAGGUGGAUGGAUAUGAGGUGGGUGAUACUUGUUGUCGGAAGAGAGGAUUUGCGGUGAUUAUUUAUCCUUUCCAGUCGAAAACCUGACUCUCAAAACUCAGUCAGACAACCAAUUAGCAAAGAGAGGAUCCUAACCUUACAGAGGGCUGAAAGCUCGCUUACAACUCAGUUCGAGCUCCAAAAACGGAAAAUCGCGAGCGAGACGGUGAAAGAUAAAAACGAAGACGCUUGGUCGACGGCAAAAGGAAUGCCGAGGAGAGGCACCGAAGAGAGGAGAGACGGAACAGACGGCGAGAGAGCAACCUCGCCAUACACUCGUAUAAAGAAGAAGGGCAAAACGAGAGGAGCAUCAUAUGGAAAAGAGGGAGGACGGGUUAAGGAGGUAGCGCGGGAAGAAGGUUCGUACAGCCGAAUCGAGGAUGUAGACAGGAAGGAUGUUCGUCGAGUGCCAUCGACUUAACUCGUGGUAUGGCACAGCGAGCACGAGCCCAUCCUCUUCGGGGCUCUGAAGAGAGCCAAGCCGGCAUAAUAAGCUUUGUGCGCCGACUGUCGACGUCGGAUUCCCACUCACGAAGGGCUGAAGAGGCCAGCCGGAAGCGGCUGCAUCGGCAGCAGUAGCGACAACGCCGAGGAGCACCGGUAACAGAAACCUUUGCCUGCGCGGGAGUUUGCCCAUACGCGAGAACAUCCGAAGAAUCGAGCAUCUGCUUGUGAAACCAGUCCACCUCUCACGGCGAAUGCUCCCGCCCUACGUAGACAUCGCUGUGCUCCCUCGCGGCACAUACGCGUGGCAAAAGAGGCAGCGAAGAAGCGGGUAACGCCAUUGUGGCAGAAAAAUGGAAGUUCCUAAUAGAGAUUUCCAUGCACUCGGCAUUCCAUGCAGGGGUAGUAGGAGGGUUGAGAACACUGCAAAAGAGCGAUAGAGAGAGAAGGAAAGAAGAAACAUCGAGGAGGAGACACGUGUGUGUUAGACAGAGACGAGCAACAGGGAGAUAAAAAGAAAAAGCAGCAGUGGAAGGGGUGGUUCGAGGCGAGGAAGGCUGCUCGAAAGGAGAAAUAUCCGCGAGUAGUUAACAGCAACGACAUUCGAGUCCGCAGCUGGCUCGCACCGCGAAUGAGAUGGAUGGCGCGUAGAAUGCAGAUCGUUGGAAGGGAUGCGGAUGGACAGACGGACGGAUGGACCAGCGAAGGGUUGCGAGCGCGAAAGGGACGUGGCGGUGCAUCGACGUGCUCGGUGCAGCCCUAUAGGCGACUAUACGCGGACGCGCCACUAUUGGGGUGCAGCCAGAGUGGUGGCACGGGGCGGAGCGAUGCCGAUAGGAGGGUUGCAGCCGGCCUCUUGCCGGCUGCUUUUUCGGAGGGUUGGAUCAGCGCGACGCUCGAUGCGCGUUGCGAACCACAGACUCGACGACAUGCAACCACCAGCACCUACGAAUAGCCAGCCGUGGAUCGAGCUCGAUGCACGCAGCUCCUUUGAUUUCUUCGUCUUUAUCGAGAUCGUACUAUGAUCUUUCCCCGCUUUGAGAUGGGAAGAUAAAGAGUUAUGAAAUUUGGGUUAAGGGUAGUAGGGUGCAUGCAGUUUGGUGCGCGACUAUACUCACGCACUUGUUGUGAAAUUUUAUUUGUUUAUUUUUGUUGUGAGUAAGAGUCUAUGAAUAACUUGGUGAUACGAGAACUUCACUUGGGUAAUAAAAAGAAAAAAGUAAUUGAAUAGUGUAGAUUUAAGGGGUGCAUAGACGAUUCUGAGAAUUUUUUUGUUUGAUUAAGAUUGCGAUUUAGAAAUUUAAGAUGGUAUAAAGUCAAAGAUUAUGAACUUAUGGAUAUGGAGGAAUGUUUGAAAACUGUUUAACUUUGUUGUAUCAUAAGAAACAAUCACCUUGUUCAAUUUUUCUAUCUUGGGACCGUGUCGAAAUAUUCCAUCACACUUUGUGAGGCUAACAAUUUUACUAGUAAUUAAUCCAUGAUACUAAGUUGUUUAAACUCUUUUUUUCUCUCUCUAGAUUCAAUUUCUUUUCUGUAUACCGAUCAUAAAAUUAAAUAUCGUAUCAGUAUUAUGUAUAAUUUUAAGUAACCUUGAAAUUCUCUAGAAUUCCGUUCACCAAGUCACCGACAGCGGAGAAAUUUUCUGAAAUAAGCACGUUAUAUGCUCAUAGAGGAUCGAUUUAAACGGGCGUUCGCGUUCAUUGAAAAUGUAAAUUGGGCGCGCGGCGAUUGACGAAAUAAUCGCCCAAAGGAAUUUAAUUACAUCGACGUUUCGCGGCUGCUCGUGUCGGAAGGACGCGUCGUUUAUUUUAUAUUUAUUUUUCCUUCGCUUUUUUCUUUUUUUUUUUUUUCGAUGCUUCGUACCAACAAGCAAAGGUUAUAGGUGGUGCACACGCACACGUUAAUGAGAAAACGGGGCGCGCGUAAUUUACUGGCGAGGAGAACAGCCAAAGAGGGAGGACAGAGGAAAGACGUGUAAUAGACAUAUUACUCUCAAUAUAGCCUAGGGUUACUUGGCGUGGGUUAAUUCGAUGUUUAAGUGCGUGUAUAGUGAUAUUAUAACCCAUCGUAAUUAUUACUAUUAUUCCGUGCUGUGAGUGCUGGCAUUUUCGAUACUCGACAUCGUUGCUUUCGACGGAAGAGUUGAAAGUGUCGUGAUUCCAACGUGUUUUCGAUUUUUGUGUAUAUUAUUAAAAAGAGGACUGCGCUGAUCUUCCGUAUUAUGGGAGGAGAGGAUUAAUUUACGUUUUUAUCAUCCCCUGUUUUCCGUGCUGUAUUUUCCAAUGAUUUGGUAGAUGUAUUAUAUGUGUAUGAUGAGCUUCGGUGCGUGUAUUUGACACGAAAUUCUGGAUACUGAUUGUAUUAUAUUUAUUCUACUUAUUAUGACAAGAUGAAUGAAGACUAGGAUUGAAGAGAUUCGUGAAUGUCAUUAUACCUUAUGAGCGCACUGAAAUUCUUGAAUAGUUUUUAAGGCGCGUUACAUUUUAGUUAUGAAAGAUCAAUCUGAAUUAAUCAUAUAGCAAAGUAUUAAGAAUAGCAAAUAUAAUUGAUGAAAUACGUAAUUUAUAGUGUCAUAGAAACUUUAUUCGUUACCUGAUUCUUGCUACAACAUGAAUCUGAAACUAUCCAAAUAUUAUCUUUUACCCUGUUCAAACUAAUCUCAGAUAUUAUAUUUGUGUAUGGUAUUGUUAUACGAUAAAGUUUUAUUUAAAAACGAACAAUAAAAUUAUUUGCAAUCAAUCCUUUAACCCCUUUGAACGAUAGAUGUUUCAAAAAUAUCUGUAGAUAAUAAGACACGUGUUCAAUGAAAUUCGCGAAACAUGCAUCUUGAUCCUCGUUCCACGAACGCAUUCACGGUUCCUACAGUUAAAUCGGGUUUCAAUCUUAAACGGCAUAGUCGGCAAUCCGACCGCGAGGCUGACACGUGCGACUCUAUCCAUCUAGAAAAAAUUCGAUUCGACGCAAGAACGUUUUUUGGAUUAGCCCGAUACCAGGCGAUCCGGUCAGAGAGUCGUAAUUUUAAACAUCUGACAUCGCCACGCGUGUCAAAUCACAAAGGCGCCUUUCCAAAUGGUUGCGUAAAUUCGCGUGGCGAACAUGGCCGUGUAAACGACAACGAUUCGUUCGUGGUGGAUGGUUCACUCGUAGAACGCUUUUAAAAAGAAGACAAUAAAAAGAAGAAAAGGAGUUUCGUUUGUCAGGAAAAGUUCUGUAGUUUCAAUUUAACGCAAAAUUUAUCUCUCAUUCAACAUCAUUUUUUUAUUUCAGAUAUAUUUUUGAUCACCAUACACGAACGCCUUUACAAAUUCGGAAUUCUCUAUCUCUAAUGACUGUUAAAAGAAGAACGAAUUGCAUUUAAAGCGCGUAAGGAAUAAGAGGGAUAAAAAAUGAGAUCAGUUUAUUCUUUUAUC